rnacentral:rRNA from 1 species
AUUGAACGCUGGCGGCAGGCCUAACACAUGCAAGUCGGACGGUAGCACAGAGAGCUUGCUCUUGGGUGACGAGUGGCGGACGGGUGAGUAAUGUCUGGGGAUCUGCCCGAUAGAGGGGGAUAACCACUGGAAACGGUGGCUAAUACCGCAUAACGUCGCAAGACCAAAGAGGGGGACCUUCGGGCCUCUCACUAUCGGAUGAACCCAGAUGGGAUUAGCUAGUAGGCGGGGUAAUGGCCCACCUAGGCGACGAUCCCUAGCUGGUCUGAGAGGAUGACCAGCCACACUGGAACUGAGACACGGUCCAGACUCCUACGGGAGGCAGCAGUGGGGAAUAUUGCACAAUGGGCGCAAGCCUGAUGCAGCCAUGCCGCGUGUAUGAAGAAGGCCUUCGGGUUGUAAAGUACUCUCAGCGGGGAGGAAGGCGGUGAGGUUAAUAACCUCGCCGAUUGACGUUACCCGCAGAAGAAGCACCGGCUAACUCCGUGCCAGCCGCCGCAGUAA